rnacentral:misc_RNA from 1 species
UCCGGUUUAACACCGGCAGUCUCCUCAGAGUGCCCAACUUAAUGCUGGCAACUAAGGACAAGGGUUGCGCUCGUUGCGGGACUUAACCCAACAUCUUACGACACGAGCUGACGACAGCCAUGCAGCACCUGUCUCCACGUCCCCGAAGGGAAGGCAACAUCUCUGCUGCGGUCGUGGGAUGUCAAACCCAGGUAAGGUUCUGCGCGUUGCUUCGAAUUAAACCACAUACUCCACCGCUUGUGCGGGCCCCCGUCAAUUCCUUUGAGUUUUAGUCUUGCGACCGUACUCCCCAGGCGGGAUACUUAAUGCGUGAGCUACGGUACCCAGGAGGUUAACAUCCCGGACACCUAGUAUCCAUCGUUUACGGCGUGGACUAC